GACGAACGCUGGCGGCGUGCCUAAUACAUGCAAGUAGAACGCUGAAGGAGGAGCUUGCUUCUCCGGAUGAGUUGCGAACGGGUGAGUAACGCGUAGGUAACCUGCCUGGUAGCGGGGGAUAACUAUUGGAAACGAUAGCUAAUACCGCAUAACAGUAGAUGUUGCAUGACAUUUGCUUAAAAGGUGCAAUUGCAUCACUACCAGAUGGACCUGCGUUGUAUUAGCUAGUUGGUGAGGUAACGGCUCACCAAGGCGACGAUACAUAGCCGACCUGAGAGGGGGAUCGGCCACACUGGGACUGAGACACGGCCCAGACUCCUACGGGAGGCAGCAGUAGGGAAUCUUCGGCAAUGGACGGAAGUCUGACCGAGCAACGCCGCGGGAGUGAAGAAGGUUUUCGGAUCGUAAAGCUCUGUUGUAAGAGAAGAACGAGUGUGAGAGUGGAAAGUUCACACUGUGACGGUAGCUUACCAGAAAGGGACGGCUAACUACGUG
rnacentral:rRNA from 1 species